rnacentral:lncRNA from 1 species
GCCGCGCCACACAUCCGCCUGUUUACCAUCGCACCCAUUGGGUACGAUGGUAGCCGCGCCACACAUCCGCCUGUUUACCAUCGCACCCAUUGGGUAUGAUGGUAGCCACGCCACACAUCCGCCUGUUUACCAUCGCACCCAUUGGGUACGAUGGUAGCCGCGCCACACAUCCGCCUGUUUACCAUCGCACCCAUUGGGUAUGAUGGUAGCCGCGCCACACAUCCGCCUGUUUACCAUCGCACCCAUUGGGUACGAUGGUAGCCGCGCCACACAUCCGCCUGUUUACCAUCGCACCCAUUGGGUAAGAUAGUAGCCGCGCCACACAUCCGCCUGUUUACCAUCGCACCCAUUGGGUACGAUGGUAGCCGUGCCACACAUCCGCCUGUUUACCAUCGCACCCAUUGGGUACGAUGGUAGCCGCGCCACACAUCCGCCUGUUUACCAUCGCACCCAUUGGGUACGAUG